GUUUUGUGGUGAUCCCCGCCAACCUCACCUGCGACUCUUACGAUGCAAUAUUGAAAGGCCUGGACAACGCUUUGGUGGUUCUCCCAUCUGCAGUUGGAGCGGAGCUGAAGUCAAGCAUAGACGAACUUCGACAGUCACCACCAGAAGGCUGCACGCCUCCUCGUCCUGUGGGUUUCUGCAAAGAGACAAUAGUGGAUGGUGAGUCAGAUCACAGGAUGCUAGUUUGCGA